AACGCACAUUGCGCCCGCCAGCACUCUGGCGGGCAUGCCUGCCCGAGCGUCAUUUCGACCCUCAGGCCGCCCUUGCUGGCGGCCUGGCGUUGGGUGCCGGCCCCCGCGCCGCCCCCGAAAUGCAGUGGCGACCACGCCGCGGCCUCCCCUGCGCAGUAGCACAUCUCGCACCGGAGCGCGGACGCGGUCACGCCGUAAAACUCCCCAAUCUCAAGAGUUGACCUCGGAUCAGGUAGGGAUACCCGCUGAACUUAA
rnacentral:misc_RNA from 1 species